rnacentral:rRNA from 1 species
UACGUAGGGGGCAAGCGUUGUCCGGAAUUAUUGGGCGUAAAGAGCGUGUAGGCGGCCAGAUAAGUCCGCUGUGAAAUCUCGAGGCUCAACUUCGAGCUGUCGGUGGAAACUAUCUGGCUAGAGUCCGGAAGAGGAGAAUGGAAUUCCUGGUGUAGCGGUGAAAUGCGCAGAUAUCAGGAAGAACACCCGUGGCGAAGGCGGUUCUCUGGGACGGUACUGACGCUGAGGCGCGAAAGCGUGGGUAGCAAACGGG